AAACUGUGACUAAUCUAACCUUCAUCCAGCUGUGUCAUAAUUGCCAUGUACAGGACAUCAUACUGGAUGCUAAGUGUAAAUAAACACAGCUAUCUGUAAAUCAGGUCCCCACCUCCAGGACUGCAGAAUCUGGAGGAAAAAUAAAGAUUAAAAUGCACAGAGAAUAAUACUGAUUUUCAUUAUUGAAAUAUUCAAAUGGCAACUGAGUUAUCCAAGUCAUCAAGGAAAUUAUAUGUUGAAUAUGACACAGAUUUAUUGAUACUGCCAGAAGUCCAGUGAGAACUGAGGAUAAAAAUCACUUGCAGCUUGAACUACUGGAUUAGGAGUUUUCUAAAUGCAAUUUGCUAAUGAAGACAACACACUGCUGAGGAAAAAUCCUAGUGUUUGGUGGCUGAUGCAACUAACUUGAAAUAAAGCAUUUUCGGAGUACAAAAUAAUGAAAAGGUGAUUAAGCUCAAGUUUGAAAAAGGUAUAAUUAAGUACAAGUUGUGUUUAGGGGCCAUGGAGCUUUCAG